AUGGGAUCGGCUACACAGAUCAACUUUCGCGAUAAUGUUCUAUCCAGAACCAUGCUUCUCUCCAAAUCGUUAAUCUCUAGAUUUUUUUUAAUAACUUCUCCUAUAGCUUUUCUAGGUCUUUUCUACUCUAGCUCUUUGACUCCUCUCCAUUUGACUUACUAUCGUUACCAUAGAAUCUACCGGUCUUAUCUCUACUCUCCUAUACCAACAUUCCUUGAAAAUGAAUAA